AAUCCAUAGGUUAAUGAGGCGAACCGGGGGAACUGAAACAUCUAAGUACCCCGAGGAAAAGAAAUCAACCGAGAUUCCCCCAGUAGCGGCGAGCGAACGGGGAGGAGCCCAGAGCCUGAAUCAGCAUGUGUGUUAGUGGAAGCGUCUGGAAAGGCGCGCGAUACAGGGUGACAGCCCCGUACACAAAAGCGCAUGUGCUGUGAGCUCGAUGAGUAGGGCGGGACACGUGGUAUCCUGUCUGAAUAUGGGGGGACCAUCCUCCAAGGCUAAAUACUCCUGACUGACCGAUAGUGAACCAGUACCGUGAGGGAAAGGCGAAAAGAACCCCGGCGAGGGGAGUGAAAAAGAACCUGAAACCGUGUACGUACAAGCAGUGGGAGCCCCACCACCAAAGCAUUUGCUGUACCGCGUUGACGGAGCGAAGCGACGUCAAACCGAUAAAACAGCAGUGUAAAGUGAGCCGCAGGGCGCUUUGCGCGACAGCGC
rnacentral:rRNA from 1 species